GCUCUUGGACAGGGUACCAGACCUCUGGAACUUCGGCGUUUCUUCUGGAUCUCUUUGGCCUUGCUGUGCCAUCUGUAGAAUGAGUGGUGUCCCUGGGGCUGAGCUGGGCCCAUGAGUCCAAAGGAGAAACCAACUUGCACAUCCCAUGGGGCCUCUGUCCUGCGUCUCUCGGUCCUGCAUGGCCUUGGUGCAGCAUGAGGGCACACACAUAGCCCACCUUGGGAUAAGCCAGCCACAGUGGACACUCCCUGGGGACAAAAGACCUGCAUCCUGCAUCCUGCAUCCUUUCCAGGCAGUAUUUAUUCACCCAUUGAACUGUUCUUCAGGACAGAAGCUGGGUUCAGGAAGCAGGUCUGAUCGUGGUGUCCAAGAAGAGGUCAAGGUCAGGGCACAGGGACAAAUGGAGGAUUGCCAUGAGUUCCAGGCCUAUAGUCACUGAUUCUGCUCUGCCCCUUCAGCAGGGACCUGGAACAAAUGCUAGACACCCGUAGACGUGCUCAGGAUUCAUCCUGCUAGGAACCACAGCUACUGCCGGCUGACCUGAGCACAUGUCAAGCAAGAGAAAGGACCUGAAUUGAGGACCCUGACUUCAAGAAUGUCCUGAAUUCAGCAGUUCAGAGCCACCAAAUAGACCCCUAGAUCUGUA